AUUGAACGCUAGCGGGAUGCCUUACACAUGCAAGUCGAACGGAUUGGCGAACGGGGGAGUGAUGGUACGGAACGUGCCCAGUAGCGGGGGAUAAGUACGCGAAAGGGUAGCUGAUACCGCAUACUAGUGGCGUGGCCGAUAUCGGAUUAGCUAGUUGGUGGGGUAACGGCUACCCCAGGCGACGAUCCCUAGCUGGUUUGAGAGGACGACCAGCCACACUGGGACUGAGACACGGCCCAGACUCCUACGGGAGGCAGCAGUGGGGAAUUUUGGACAAUGGGGGAAACCCUGAUCCAGCCAUCCCGCGUGUGCGAUGAAGGCCUUCGGGUUGUAAAGCACUUUUGGCAGGAAAGCGGUACCUGCAGAAUAAGCACCGGCUAACUACGUGCCAGCAGCCGCGGUAAUAC
rnacentral:rRNA from 1 species